CAGAACUAUACUCUGUCUGCCCUUCGAAAUAUGAAGAUCACUCAAAACCUUUAAAACAUCUACCAAUCAAUAUUUGGUCUGCAACAAAUACUUUUAUAUGGUUAAUCCCUGUUGUGACGUCACCAAAACUACCGUUAAUGAGAUCAAACAUUUAUCCAAGAUGGCGGACAUCUCAUUACUUCAAGUGAAAAUAUUUCAAGAACUAAGC